GACGAACGCUGGCGGCGUGCCUAAUACAUGCCAGUAGAACGCUGAAGGAGGAGCUUGCUUCUCCGGAUGAGUUGCGAACGGGUGAGUAACGCGUAGGUAACCUGCCUGGUAGCGGGGGAUAACUAUUGGAAACGAUAGCUAAUACCGCAUAAGAGUAGAUGUCGCAUGACAUUUGCUUAAAAGGUGCAACUGCACCACUACCAGAUGGACCUGCGUUGUAUUAGCUAGUUGGUGAGGUAACGGCUCACCAAGGCAACGAUACAUAGCAGACCUGAGAGGGUGAUCAGCCACAAUGGGACUGAGACACGGCCCAGACUCCUACGGGAGGCAGCAGGAGGGAAUCGUCGGCAAGGGACGGAAGUCUGACCGAGCAACGCCGCGUGAGUGAAGAAGGUUGUCGGAUCGUAAAGCUCUGUUGUAAGAGAAGAACGAGUGUGAGAGUGGAAAGUUCACACUGUGACGGUAACUUACCAGAAAGGGACGGCUAACUACGUG
rnacentral:rRNA from 1 species